UUCGGGAAAAGCCGGUGCAAGCGAGGUAGGAGUACAGUAGGCAAAUCCGCUGUACAAUCCGAAGACGUGAUGCGGACCGAAUUAAGAGUAGGGAAGUGUGUGAGCCAUGCGUCAAGAAAAGCCGCUAUUGUUUUACUUAAGCCCGUACCGUAAACCGACACAGGUGGAUGAGGAGAGAAUCCUAAGGCCGACGGGAGAAGCAUUGUUAAGGAACUCGGCAAAAUGACUCCGUAACUUCGGGAGAAGGAGUGCCAGCGAGAGCUGGCCGCAGAGAAUUGGCCCAAGCAACUGUUUAGCAAAAACACAGGUCUAUGCAAAACCGUAAGGUGAAGUAUAUGGGCUGACGCCUGCCCGGUGCUGGAAGGUUAAGAGGAGAGGAUAGCGGCAACGCGAAGCUUUGAAUUUAAGCCCCAGUAAACGGCGGCCGUAACUAUAACGGUCCUAAGGUAGCGAAAUUCCUUGUCGGGUAAGUUCCGACCCGCACGAAAGGCGUAAUGAUUUGGGCACUGUCUCAACAAUGCACCCGGUGAAAUUGAAAUACCAGUGAAGAUGCUGGUUACCUGCGCCAGGACGGAAAGACCCCAUGGAGCUUUACUCCAGCUUGAUACUGGGAUUCGGUAUUGCAUGUACAGGAUAGGUGGGAGGCUAGGAAGUGAUAACGCCAGUUGUCACGGAGCCGCUGUUGGGAUACCACCCUUGCAGUAUUGGAUUUCUAACCAGCGACCAUGAACUGGUCGGGGGACAAUGUCAGGUGGGGAGUUUGACUGGGGCGGUCGCCUCCGAAAGGGUAUCGGAGGCGCUCAAAGGUUCCCUCAGAAUGGACGGAAACCAUUCGAAGAGUGCAAAGGCAGAAGGGAGCUUGACUGCGACACCGACGGGUGGAGCAGGUACGAAAGUAGGACUUAGUGAUCCGGUGGUAUAAAGUGGGAUUGCCAUCGCUCAACGGACAAAAGCUACCCCGGAUAACAGGCUUAUCACUCCCAAGAGUUCACAUCGACGGAGUGGUUUGGCACCUCGAUGUCGGCUCAUCGCAUCCUGGGGCUGAAGUAGGUCCCAAGGGUUGGGCUGUUCGCCCAUUAAAGCGGUACGCGAGCUGGGUUCAGAACGUCGUGAGACAGUUCGGUCCCUAUCCGGCGUGGGCGUAGGAUAUUUGAGAGGAGCUGUCCUUAGCACGAGAGGACCGGGAUGGACUGGCCGCUGGUGUAUCUGUUGCAUACCAAAUGCAUGGCAGAGUAGCCAAGCCGGGACGGGAUAAACGCUGAAGGCAUCUAAGCGUGAAGCCCCCCUCAAGAUGAGAUAUCCCUACGUAAGUAGUAAGACCCCUUGAAGACGACGAGGUAGAUAGGUCAGAGGUGGAAGUACAGUAAUGUAUGGAGCUGACUGAUACUAAUCGGUCGAGGGCAUGACC
rnacentral:rRNA from 1 species